ACUACAUUUGAAUUAGCCCUACAAUGGCUACAUCCUGCAUAAACCCACAUACAAGUUGUCUUUCACCUGGAAACAAUGUGUGAUGGUAUAGUGGAAAUGCUUAGUCACAGCUUGAAGCAGUGAUGGAAUAGCUGGUGGGAAGGCAGGGCCAACCCAGGGGAGUUUAGGUGUAUGCAAUGCUGGUGAGUGUUGGAAGGGCUGCAGCCAGGAUCCUCCCCUUCCCAGACCUCAGUUAAGUGCUGGCAGUGCAGGUGAGCUGGAGAUUCCUGCCUACUUGAGGCCUUUUGAAGAGUUGGAGCUCCUCUGUCUCAGAGCAUCCAGAUGAAGCAGCCAAAAGAGGCCCUGACUCAUCCAUCUCCAUUGCAAAGGCGGUGGUGCUUCAGGACACUGUACCUUGGGACGAGCACUAUGAGACCAGCUGUGUGGUGUGGGAAAGGGGAUGGAGACAACAGCAUCACCUGGGAAUAGGAGCCAAAGAGAAAGAUGGAGGAUGCAUCACUGUGAGGAAUUCAACUCUGGCCAUGAGACCAAGUGCUGGAAAAAAACACCCAGCUUGUAGCAACCAGCAUAUGCUGCUGCCUACACUUGACUUUCAUGGAUUCCA
ensembl:lncRNA